rnacentral:rRNA from 1 species
UACGAAGGGGGCUAGCGUUGUUCGGAAUUACUGGGCGUAAAGCGGGUGUAGGCGGAUCUUUAAGUCGGAGGUGAAAGCCCAGGGCUCAACCCUGGAAUUGCCUUCGAUACUGGAGAUCUGGAGUGUGGGAGAGGUGAGUGGAAUUCCGAGUGGAGAGGUGCAAUUCGUAGAUAUUCGGAGGAACACCAGAGGCGAAGGCGGCUCACUGGACCACUACUGACGCUGAGACCCGAAAGCGUGGGGAGCAAACAGG